CAUGCCCUAGAGCUAAUGUCUCGGCAAAAUUAUUUCUCAAUAUGCAGAAACAGUCGUUAAAACAUUGCCGGGCGGUGUAAAACGUCCGGGGAGACGAAAUUAUGUAAGCCCCAUUAACACAUGCAGUUAAUAAAGCCCUCAUGAUUUAAGGCUACUUCUAGAAAGAACCAGAAAAUGAAUAUUAAAAUCUGAAUAGAAGCUGGGAGUGAAAAGGUUAAUGCGUCCUGCGUCAGGAAGAACAAAAAGGAUCGACGGGAGGACACUGGCAGGAGACGGUUGUGAAGAAACCGAGCAAGAAGGUGCAGGUACAAUAAUACUCCCUCUGCUUGGGCAGAGCUCUACACAACCAGCGAUCCAGGCAUGGCCUCCACACUUCACCUCCUGACCCUCUCCUGCGCUCUCGUGACCUUAACCCUUGGCUGCGGGUUCGACCGGUUCUACCGCUGUGACCCCAAUGCCUGGUCCUGCACGAAUCGGGGCGGCUACUGUGACGUCAGAGGCGGGCGAUGCACGUGCGUCUCGCCCAACGCCGGCUACAACAGCGGCCCUGGGGGUCCCUACCCUGGAGGUCCCAACAAUGGAUAUUAUCACAACGGUCCCUACGGGGCGUACGUGGAGCCAGAAGGCAACUACUACGCCCAGCGUGGCCCCAUAAACGAGCAAAACAUCGAGGGGACGGGGAAUGUCAUGGUAGAAAUGGCCAAGGUGGCCAGCAUGAUCAGUUAACCACUCGUCAUUACCCUCGGGAUGAAAACAAACGGAAAACUGUUGCCUCUAAUGACUACUUAGGCCUAGAAGUGUUCUUUGAAACUGACUUUUGUAAACUUGACAAACAAAGAGGACGGAAAUAGAUUUCUCAAUUUUCAAUUUUUUAUAUAUUUUUAGUGUUUUUAUCGGUUUUGUAAGAAAAGUUAUGUGCUGUUAGUGAUAAGAAAUGUGUUUUGAUCAUAUAUAUAUAUUAAAGAUUUAACUUGA